CAGAUCACAGGACUGCCAGGUAUUACCAAAUACACUGGUAAAAAUACAAAAAUGUGGAAGAUUUCCUACAGCUGUGAUCCUCUGAACCACCUCUUGGAGCCGUACCUGCUUCAUUUU
rnacentral:lncRNA from 1 species